GACGUAGGGCGCGAGCGUUGUCCGGAUUUAUUGGGCGUAAAGAGCUCGUAGGCGGCUUGUCGCGUCGACUGUGAAAUCCCGCGGCUCAACUGCGGGUCUGCAGCCGAUACGGGCAGGCUAGAGUUCGGUAGGGGAGACUGGAAUUCCUGGUGUAGCGGUGAAAUGCGCAGAUAUCAGGAGGAACACCGGUGGCGAAAGCGGGUCUCUGGGCAUUAACUGACGCUGAGGAGCGAAAGCAUGGGGAGCGAACAGG
rnacentral:rRNA from 1 species